rnacentral:misc_RNA from 1 species
CCCUAGCCCCGAUAGCAAUGGUUACCCCGCAGCUUGCGUGGGAGAGCUGUGGGUUUGAGUGUAGGAAAGCGCUGGCGUGAGGAGUAUGAAUGGAUAGCGGGAGAAUGC